GACGAACGCUGGCGGCGUGCUUAACACAUGCCAGUCGAACGGAAAGGCCCUGCUUUUGUGGGGUGCUCGAGUGGCGAACGGGUGAGUAACACGUGAGUAACCUGCCCUUGACUUUGGGAUAACUUCAGGAAACUGGGGCUAAUACCGGAUAGGAGCUCCUGCUGCAUGGUGGGGGUUGGAAAGUUUCGGCGGUUGGGGAUGGACUCGCGGCUUAUCAGCUUGUUGGUGGGGUAGUGGCUUACCAAGGCUUUGACGGGUAGCCGGCCUGAGAGGGUGACCGGCCACAUUGGGACUGUGAUACGGCCCAGACUCCUACGGGAGGCAGCAGUGGGGAAUAUUGCACAAUGGGCGGAAGCCUGAUGCAGCAACGCCACGUGCGGGAUGACGGCCUUCGGGUUGUAAACCGCUUUCGCCUGUGACGAAGCGUGAGUGACGGUAAUGGGUAAAGAAGCACCGGCUAACUACGUG
rnacentral:rRNA from 1 species